GGGGGCGUAAAGGUUUCGACGGGGGUGUAGAAGCCGGAUAAGCGAGCCGCAGUUGUCCAGUCUGCGUUAAAAGGGACCGUUUAAAUAUAAACGCUAAAAGAGAAAACACUUACGCAUUCGCUGCUUAGUUCAGCGGCCGCUUGAGCGGCGCGUCGUCGGCCCGGAUUCACCUGCAGGUCCGGAUCCCGGCGUCGAUUAUGCAGGAAAACUCUGUGUGAUCUCCCGGUAGCACAGGGGACCAACGGGAUAGUCCGUGAGAUAGCCUGCUUUUGGGCGAUCCCAUGGGCGAAGCUGAAAUCAAAAGCUGCGCUCGGAGAAGUUCCUGUGGAAAUGCUUUCGGACGUGAGUUCGACUCUCACCGCCUUCACCA
rnacentral:tmRNA from 1 species